UACGGGGGGAGCAAGCGUUGUUCGGAUUUACUGGGCGUAAAGGGCGCGUAGGCGGCACCGCAAGUCGACUGUGAAAUCUCCGGGCUUAACUCGGAACGGUCAAGUGAUACUGUCGUGCUAGAGUACAGAAGGGGCAACUGGAAUUCUCGGUGUAGCGGUGAAAUGCGUAGAUAUCGAGAGGAACACCUGCGGCGAAGGCGGGUUGCUGGGCUGAUACUGACGUGAGGCGCGAAAGCUAGGGGAGCGAACGGG
rnacentral:rRNA from 1 species